rnacentral:rRNA from 1 species
AGGGUUCGAUUCUGGCUCAGGAUGAACGCUGGCGGCGUGCUUAACACAUGCAAGUCGAACGGAGUUUUUAAACGGAAGUUUUCGGAUGGAAGUUUAGAAACUUAGUGGCGGACGGGUGAGUAACGCGUGGGUAACCUGCCUCAUACAGGGGGAUAACAGUUAGAAAUGACUGCUAACACCGCAUAAUAUAGCGAAACCGCAUGAUUUUUGCUAUCAAAUAUUUAUAGGUAUGAGAUGGGCCCGCGUCUGAUUAGCUAGUUGGUGGGGUAAAAGCCUACCAAGGCGACGAUCAGUAGCCGGCUUGAGAGAGUGACCGGCCACAUUGGGACUGAGACACGGCCCAAACUCCUACGGGAGGCAGCAGUGGGGAAUAUUGGACAAUGGGGGAAACCCUGAUCCAGCCGGCGCCGCGUGAGUGAAGAAGUAUUUCGGUAUGUAAAGCUCUAUCAGCAGGGAAGAUAAUGACAGUACCUGACUAAGAAGCCCCGGCUAACUACGUGCCAGCCGCGGC